AGUGCUGGGAUUACAGGCAUGAGCCACUGCACCUGGCCUAAAAUAGAAAAGAUAUUUAACUUCUGUGCUUUAUUCCUCCAGAGACUGAUUAAGAUCUUUGAAUGGAAAAUCCACAGAAACAGAUUUUAGUUCAAUGUGUAUCAUUAGUAUAUUAACAUAAUUUCAUUUGCCAUUUUUGGAGUUGUGGCUUUAAACCAGAGAACAACAUAGAUGUAUUUAACUCUAUUAUUUCAUCUGGCCAUCGCUGUAAACCUUCAGGUACGUAUUAUUAUUCUCAUCUUACAGAUGAAGAAACUGAUGUUCAAAGAGUUUCAAGGUCACUUACUGAGCUGAUAAGAGCUCCUGCGUCUUACUACACAAUUAUUAAACUGUUGUACUGUACUCAGUUACUUCAAAUUAAAAUUAGAAUUAGUCAUUUCAAAUUGUAAUUAGGAAUGUUUAAACUUGACUCAAUACAAGCUUUUCAAAAAAAAAGAAAAACACUUGGCAGGCUAAACCACAUUUUCCUGCUGAUAACUAUUUGACCUUCUCUUGGACCCUGGUCCACAUGCAUUUUGAAUGUUUGAUUUGGGGGUUCAAGCCACCUUCCCUGAAAGUCACACUGAAGCUCUUAUUUUAGAAGUGGGAGGUUAUCAUCCACUCAGCCUCCUUAAUGGCUUUUACGUUACAAAAAGCAUGUUUAUAAUUUCAAUGGAAAAAGCAUAUAUAUAAUUUACCGGUGAAAAAAUGCUUUGAGAUGCUGAUUUGGGAUGCUGUCUCACGGCAGAUAGUCGUUACCUGUAUACUACUAACUCAGUUGGAAGAGGAGUAAGCAAAUUGGGGUCUGGAUUACGUGAUACUCUCAGGUCAGUUGCCUGGAACUUCCUAAAUGAUUUAGAUGGAACAUUUUCCUCCUUACGUAAAUCUCUGUGAAGAAGAGACUGGGGGGUACAUUCCAACUCCCCAUAGACGAGUAACUAAAUAACAAGUCUGAACUAACUCAAAUAAUUCCAGUCUUCUCUUACUGCCACCUCUCCCAUCUUGUUUUGUUAAGCAUUCUAGCUUUAUUUUGGCUCUGAAGACUUUGGUAGCCCUAAGAUCAUUGUUUCCAGCCAGAAAGUCCUCUGUGAUCAGGAUCUUUAUAACUAUCAGUGAUUUCUCCCUGUUGAUUAAGUCUACAUAAGUCUCUUUGAACUUGGAUUUGACAUUAGAUUAGCAAGUGAUUUUCAGCUGGGAUAUAAGAUCUAUAAAUUGCUGACAAAAGAAACUACAGUUUGACAGCCUUGUCUAAAUUUAGGUCUUUUCCCCCAACUUUUUGUUGGUGAAUUUCAAUAACCCCUCAUGUGCUAAGUUAGGAUCUGUCAUGGACCUUCAUAUUUUUUACUUGUUUUUCCCUCUCCCUCUUCUCAGCUUUCCCUCUUGACUUUCUUUGGCUGUCUUUUUUCCUUCUUUCCAUAUUCAUUAAAUAACUUUGAGUUAGCCUUUGCAUUGGAUAUAAUGCAAAGGAUAUAUAAAGAUGAAUAAGACAAUUUUUGUCCUUUAAACAAAAUUAAUGAUCUUAAAUUCAUUUACUAAAGAAAUUUCAGGAAGUGCUGUUUCUGUAGAUCUUUGCUUUAAUAAGUGUUAGAUACAACACAUAUACAUAAUGAUUCAAAGUGUUUAGCAAAUACUUUUUCCUAUUCAAAAGUAAUUUGAAUUAACAAGAAAUUUUUCAUCUGUUGGAUGGCCAUUCAUAUUUAUUCUAUUGCCCAUUGUAUGAACUUUUAUAUUUUUGCCAUAUAAUUUGUGUACAUUAUUCUUAGAGAUAUGUAUCCGUCUUAUUUUCAUCAGGAAGCCUAGUGAAUUCUCAUGUCAGGCAUAAUAGCAUUAACGAGAGCUUGAUAGGAUUAAUGAAACUUAUAUAUUUGUGUCUCUAAUGGAGAUUUCCUCCCUUUUAAUGCCCAGAUGUGCCAGGUGGUGCCAGUGCCAGCUAAUCACCUCCCUGUUGGCAGCACCGUGAACACUGUGCACCUGUCUUCAGAUGGCACUUAAAGCAGAGAAGCCUGCUGUGUGGCUGUGGGAGUCAUCAGAGAGGUGGCAGUGGAGGUUUGUUAUCGACCCAAUCAUUACAUCGCUACCCAAGCGUUAGCUCUGUUCAACGCCCUUGUGGAGUCCAGGACUUAGAGAGAGGAUCUCCAAGCAGAAGCCCCCAGCCCACGUGAGAACAGGGAGACCCUUGUGCCCUUAACUGUUUUCCAUAGUACUGCCCAGCCUUGUACACUCUGGCCCAAAUGUUCCUCACCUUUGGAAGACACAGAACUUCUUUCAAAACCAUUGAAAUAUCGAGAUCAUUUCCGCAGAAAGAAAAUGUAAUUUAAGGUAAUUCGUGGACUUACCCCCACCCCCCCAAUUUUAUUCAUGAAUCAUAGUAAUUCUAGGGACCUCAGGUUACAAACUUCACUUUGGUCAGAAACAUUAAAAGCUAUUUUGGGAUAAGACAGAAACCAUAGGUUAAAUCUUUUUUUUUUUUAAACAUACUUCUUAGGGGUUAACAAAAUGUCAUAGAUUGUUUAUAACUAUAUGAAAUACGUUCCUGAAAGCAUCAAAAUCUUUAUUAAUGAACUAGUACUAAAAUGCUUACUAGCCUAACCUUGUACUAAAAGACCCUGGAGUAUUGUUAUAAUCAUUAGUAUUUUGAACCAUGGUCAGUUUGGGUUUUACUCUUCAUUUCAGGCUUGGUUUCUGCUUAUAUGUUAUUUUGCAUUUGUGCCUCGAAAGUUUAUGCCUUUGCUCACUUCUCAACAACUUUAGCAUUUACAAUAUAUUAGAAAAUGCUAUCAAUGACCAGAGACUAGAGUAGCAGGUCCCAUAGCUGAUGUUUAUUUUGUAAAAGCAGGAUGUAGUAGAAAUAACACAUGUACCACAGCGAGAAGGCUGGGGUCGAAAUUCUUGUGCUGUAGCAGAAAAGGUAUUUGAACCUCCUAAACUUAUUUAAGGUAGAGUCCUGGUGUUUGGCAAAUAGUAAUAAUAGUCAGGACCUUACCAUGUGCCAGACAGCAUUCCCAGAACUCACACAUACAGAGCUCAUUUCAUCUUUACCACAAAUAUGGGGGAUGUAUGUGAUUGUCCACAAUUUAUAAAUGAGAGGAAGGGAGCAGAGAGACUUGAAAUAACAUGUUUGAAUCACAGACCUAAAAGUGCAAAGGCCAGAUUCAAGUGCAGCCACUGAACUCCAGCAUCAAAGCUCCUCCCCACCUCACUAUACUGCCUCCCAUGGGUGACCUCGGGGGUUACAUUAACUCAUGUAUGUAUCAGUGCUUAGAGCAAUUCCUGGCAUGGAGCAAAUGCCAUGUAUGUAUGAGCUGUUACUAUUUUUGAGAAACAGCACAGCAUAGCUUAAUGAUCAGGAACAUGGACUAUAGAACUACAUUGUCUGAACUCAACCCCCAAUGCUGGUUCCUCCAUCAGUAACUUGUGUGACCUUGGACAAAUUACUUGUCAUCUCUGUGAUCAUCAUAAAUGAAGAUGAAAAUAGUCUACCUUGUAGGGUUAUUGUACAGAUUAAGUAAGAUAAUAUUCCUAAAGCACUUAAGGCACUUUUUUUUUUGGAGGGGGCUUUUUAUUUUUUAACUUUUAGGUUCAGGGGUACAUGUACAUGUUUGUUACACAGAAAAAAUGCAUGUCAUGAGGGUUUGGUGUACAGAUUAUUUUGUCACCCAGAUAAUAAGCAUAGUACCUGAUAAGGCAGUUUUUUAAUCCUCUCCUUCCUCCCACCUCCCACCCUCAAGUAGGCCCCAGUGUCUGUUGCUGCCUUCUUUGUGCCCAUGUGUUCUCAAUGUUUUAACUCUUACUACUAAGUGAGAAAGUACAAUAUGUGAUUUUCUGAUCUUACAAUUAUUUGCUUAGGAUAAUGGUCUCCAGCUUUAUCCAUGUUGCUGCAAAGGACAUGAUCUCAUUCUUUUUUAUGGCUGCAUAGUAUUCCAUGGUGUAUGUGUACUACAUUUUCUUUAUCCAGUCUGCUGUUCAUGGCCAUUUUGGUUGAUUCUAUAUCUUUGCCAAUGUGAGUAGUGCUGUGAUUAACACACAUGUAUGUAACUGAAUCAUGCAUGAAUCAUGUAGAAUGAUUUAUUUUCCUUUGGGUAUACAGCCAGUAAUGGGAUUGCUAGGUCAAAUGGUACUUCUGUUGUAAGUUCUUUGAUAAACACCCACACUGCUUUCCACAAUGGCUGAACUAAUUUACAUUUUCACCAGCACUCUGUAAGCAUUGCAUCAUCUUCAUGACCUCUCCAGCAUCUGUUAUUUUUUCUUUUUUGUAAUAGCCAUUCUGAUUGGUGUGAGAUGUUGGGGCUAUUUGGUUUUUGCUUAAUUUAAGUUCCUUAUAGACUGGAUGUUAGACCUUUGUUGGAUGCAUAAUUUGAAAAGAUUUUCUCCCAAUCUGUAGGUUUGUCUGUUUAUUGUCUUGUUAGUUUUUCUUGUGCAGAAGCUCUUUGAUUAGAUCUUAUUUGUCAAUUUUUGUAUUUGUUGCAGUUGAUUUUGGCAUCUGAGGAGGUGUAUGAUCUCUACAAUAAGAACUGCAAAAACACUGCUCAAAGAAAUCAGAGAUGAUACAAACAGUGAAAAAAUAUCCCAUGCUCAUGGAUAGGAAGAAGCAAUAUUAUUUAAAUGGCCAUGCUACUCAAAGCAAUUUACAGAUUCAGUGCUAUCCCUAUCAAACUACCAAUGACAUUCUUCACGGAAUUAGAAAAAACUAUUUUAAAAUUCAUACAGAACCAUAAAAGCCCAAAUAGCCAAGGCAAUCAAUUCUAAGCAAAAAGAACAAAACUUGGAGGCAUCAAUUUAUGUGACUUGAAACUACACUACAGGGCUACCGUAACCAAAACAGCCUGGUACUGGUACAAAAGCAUACACAUAGACCAACAGAACAGAAUAGAGAGCCUAGAAAUAAUGCCACACACCUGUAAUCAUCUGAUCUUUGACAAAGUUGACAAAAGCAAUGGGGAAAGGACUCCCUAUUCAAUAAAUGGUGCUGGGAUAACUGGGUAGCCACAUGCAAAAGAUUGAAACUGGACCCCUUCCUUACACCAUAUACAAAUAUCAACUCAAGAUGAAUUAAAGAAUUAAAUGUGAAACCUCAAACUAUAAAAAUCCUUCAAUAUAACCUAGGAAUUAGCAUUUUUGACAUAGGCCCCAGCAAAGAUACUUUCUUCUUAAUACCUAGGAAGUGCCCAUUUACAAAAAUAAUGUCCUUCUUUGCUGACUUUGAAAAUAUACUCGGAUAAAACAGAGUAGGUCUUAUUAAUUGCAUAUGUUCACAUUUCAAAAUGUAAGUAGCCUUAUGUAAACCCCUAAAUAGCUAGUGACAUGAAUUUUUCAUUUCUUACAUGUGAAUAAACUUAAGCUGUACAUAGUUAAGAAGGCUUGGAACAAUUCAUAGAGAUUAUGACCUGUGAAGAACUGGCCAUCCAGAUAGGUCCCCACCACAUGCCACUGACCUUAUCUCCACCAUCACUGACUUCUUUUUAUGUUUAGAGGAUCCAGAUGCUCAGUGUCAUCUUCGAAGAUGCCAGGUCACAUUGGCAAAGGCCGCAAGAACUGAUAUGAAAAACCAGAUGCAAUGAAAACCGUAACUGUACAUGAGACAGAACUGCCCAAGGUCAAGCUGGGGCAUUCUGUGUGAAGAGGAAGAUGCCUUGGCAGAAGAUCACUUCAUCAUGACCAGGGCAUCAGAAGAAGGGGUCGCAGAAUUUAUUCAUGAUUCAAUAAGUAUGCACCACCUGUCUGGAAGUGAGUUAGCAUAAAACAUAAGUUCAGUAAGAAUACAAGAAUGAGUGAGUGAAUUAAGAAAUGAAUGGAUUGGGAGUUACCAUUGGCCACACACCGCUUAGACAGUAGAAUAUCUCAGCCAGGUAGAAAGAAUGGAUCAUGGUGGCCCAGCAAAGCAUGUACUUCCUGGGGCAGAUUGUGGCAUCAUUAUCUCCAACAUCUCUGACAAUUUCUGUUUCAAGUUAAGGGCUGGUCAGCUUCUAUUCUUAGAAACACUUUCUUUACACAUGUCAGUAAAUCAAAUCUUGUCUUUAGAGACAAUCCAUCUUGUUAAACUAACUUUGUUUGGGUCUACCCUGACCCUGUUUGUGCCACCCCUGCCCCCAUACAUAUAAUCAGUUUUGUCUGUAGUUAUAAUUUGUCCAUAAUUUGGAAAAGAGAAGCCUAAAAAAGUUCACUCUAGACACUUUCAGCUAGGAACAAACUUAUAUGUGAAAAUAAUUAAAAUGUGGGGAGUGAAGGUUUAUAGUGGAACUAUUUACAGACCCUCAAACACUGCACAACAGUUGAAACUUUGCUGUAGUGACUUCAUUCUCUUAGUUGUCAAUCUGUUUUUCUUCUACAUUUCUUCCACAUACUUCUGGUAUAUUUUUAAUAAAGAUUUUUCAAAAAGAUAAAUAUGGCUUAUAUUUUCCCAGCUCAAAAUUCCCCUGAAGGCCUCCGAAGCAGUAAAUAGUAGUGCUU
rnacentral:lncRNA from 10 species